UGAUUGGUGACCUCUGGCAAGGCUGAGGACCUUUAGCUCUAAUCAAUGGGCAAAAGGUUGACCUCUUUGCUACUGAUUGGCUUUUCCUUUUCAUUAUACCCUUGGGCUGGAUGGGGAAGCUGUGUGAAUCAACGCUUCAUAAGCCUUCCUCUCUGAGAACUAGGGCUUCCAAGGAAUUGGAUAUGAAAAGGCAGAGAGGAAGGAGGAGGAUAUGAGAUGCCAGACGGGGGAGGGUGGGGGGGACAGGUCCCAGAAGAGGUCAGCUGGGACCCAGGCAGGAUGGCAUUGUGGCUGCGGGUGCCAGAGUCAGCCUGCCUGGGUUAAGGUCCUCAGUCAGCCUUGACUGCUGGGUAAUCCGUGGUAAGUACCCACUGCUCCUGCCUCAGCUUCCCCACCUCUCACAUGUGGUUGAUCCUCACAGCCAUCUCUUGGGGUUGUUCUGAAGAUGAAAUGAGAUCAUCUAUGUAAGAAGCUGGCACUUAAAAGCACAGAGAGGGCACCAAGGAACGUAUGGUCUGUCCUUAUUUGGGGAAUGGGGGUGGAAGGCGCCCAGCAGGGCAUGGGGCGUGGUAUGGCAGAGCCAGGACUAAGGGUCUGUAGCCUCCUAAAUCAGGGCUUUCUCCGCAGGAUUUCCCAUGUUCUCACCAUCUACAGAGUCACUCCCCUCCACCCUGCUGCCCCGUUCCACCAAGUGGCCCUCACACUAGGUGGAGGAGCCCUCACAGAUCUCUUUCCUUCAGCCUGCCGUUCUUUCUGCAGCACCAGGGCCCUGGGACCAGCUGGUGGUUUCCACCAGAGCAGCCUCGGGGUGAAUUUAGUCAGGAAUGUGC
rnacentral:lncRNA from 1 species